rnacentral:rRNA from 1 species
ACGUUGUUCGCGCGAGACGUGUG